GUUCUGUUUGCUGUUUCUUGCAGGUCAUGAAUUUGGUGAGGAGUGUAGCUGGCUGGCUGCGGACGAGGAAGGCGCUCUCAAGUUUGCGUGUUCCGUGCUGCAGGAAGAUUCAGCACGAUUCCCCCCCUUCCCACUCCCCCCAAAGGCCGUGGCCUGGGCACGAUUGCUCCUUCAUACAUACGUCAUCACGUCGUAAUACGAUAAUACGUCAUCACCAAGCGUCCUCGCCGCCAUAACAACGAUGGAGAACAACAACGUGAAUGCUGUCGUCGGCCCAAAUUUCAAGACCUACAAAUCGGAGGAGGCCUUUGUGGACAUAAACAACAUUUUGCGCCGAGGGGACAUCAUUGGCGUCCGCGGUAACCCCGG
ensembl:lncRNA